rnacentral:rRNA from 1 species
AGUGGGAAGGUAGCUCCCUCGGGAGUGUUAUAGCCUGCUAUAGAUGGCGUGACAGAGAUCGAGGAUUGCAGCGAAUGCCUUUAGGCUACGAGUCUGGUCUCUGUAAAGGCGUUAUCUUGUCUGUCAGCAUGCUGACGGCUCGUUGGCACUCUCCAAUAGGUUCAGAACUCGAUAAAUUCGCUAAGGAUGUUGACGUAAUGGCUUUAAACGA